rnacentral:rRNA from 1 species
CAAUAGCGUAUAUUAAAGUUGUUGCGGUAAAAAAGCUCGUAGUUGGAUUUCUGUUGAGAGCGACCGGUCCAUACCAUGUAUGCGUAUCUGGCUUGCUCUCGGCAUCCUCUCGAUAGACGCUACUGCGCUUGAUUGCGUGGUGCGGAUCUCGGGACUUUUACUUUGAGGAAAUUAGAGUGUUCACGGCAGGCUUUCGCCAGAAUACAUUAGCAUGGAAUAAUACUAUAGGAUCUUGGUUCUAUUUUGUUGGUUUCUAGAAUUGAGAUAAUGAUUAAUAGGGACAAUUGGGGGCAUUCGUAUCAACACGUCAGAGGUGGAAUUCUUGGAUUGUGUUGCGACGAACUACUGCGAAAGCAUUUGCCAAGGAUGUUUUCAUUGA